rnacentral:rRNA from 1 species
UGUCGGCCGGUGAGAGUGGCGGAAGGGCGAGGAACGACGUGGGCAACCUGUCUCGUGAGGUGGGGAAAACCGUUGGAAACGACGGCUAAUACCGAAUGUAGCGCCCGCUCGCAUGAGCGGAGCGCCAAAGGGGGCGAAAGCUCCCCCUCUUUGAGGGGCCCGCGCACCAUCAGCUUGUUGGCGGGGUAACGGCCCACCAAGGCUCACGGUUAGCUGGCUGAGAGGAUGGCCAGCCGCACUGGGACUGAGAUACUGCCCAGACUCCUACGGGAGGCUGCAGUCGAGGAUCAUUUGCAAUGGGCGAAAGCCUGACAAUGCGACGCUGCGUGGAGGAUGAAGGCCCUCGGGUUGUAAACUCCUGUCAUGGGGGAAAAGGAAAAGGGACCCAACACGUCCCCGAUUUGAUGGUACCCCAAGAGGAAGCGACGGCUAACUCUGUGCCAGCAGCCGC